rnacentral:rRNA from 1 species
GUCGAGCGAAGCUUUUCAGUAGUUUACUACAGAAAAUGACUGAGCGGCGAACGGGUGAGUAACGCGUGAGCAAUCUACCUUAGUUACAGGGAUAGCCCGAGGAAACUCGGAUUAAUACCUGAUAUUCUUUAUUUCUCGCAUGAGAAUAAAAGGAAAGGUCAGCCGAACUAAGAUGAGCUCGCGUUCUAUCAGCUAGUUGGUGAGGUAAAAGCUUACCAAGGCUACGACGGAUAGCUGGUCUGAGAGGACGAUCAGCCACACUGGGACUGAGACACGGCCCAGACUCCUACGGGAGGCUGCAGCAGGGAAUAUUGUGCAAUGAACGAAAGUUUGACACAGCGACACCGCGUGUGGGAUGACGGACCUAGGUUUGUAAACCACUUUCAGGAGGGAAGAAAAUGACGGUACCUCCACAAGAAGCCCCGGCCAACUACGUGCCAGCAGCCGCGGUAAUACGUAGGGGGCGAGCGUUGUCCGGAUUUAUUGGGCGUAAAGAGCUCGUAGGCGGUUCAACAAGUCGGUCGUGAAAGUUCAGGGCUCAACCCUGAAAUGUCGAUCGAUACUGUUGUGACUAGGAUACGGUAGAGGUGAGUGGAAUUCCGAGUGUAGCGGUGAAAUGCGUAGAUAUUCGGAGGAACACCAAUUGCGAAGGCAGCUCACUGGGCCGCUAUCGACGCUGAGGAGCGAAAGCUAGGGGAGCAAACAGGAUUAGAUACCCUGGUAGUCCUAGCUGUAAACGAUGGAUACUAGAUGUAGGAACUGGAUUGACGGUUUCUGUAUCGCAGCUAACGCGUUAAGUAUCCCGCCUGGGGAGUACGGUCGCAAGACUAAAACUCAAAGGAAUUGACGGGACCCCGCACAAGCGGCGGAGCAUGC